GCCUAGUUAGCUUAGUUGGUAGUGCGUCUUGUAAGCGCUAAGCCGCGGGUUCGAUUCCCGCCCGGGGCG
rfam:Asian citrus Psyllid, Diaphorina citri - Florida Strain, whole genome shotgun sequence.